rnacentral:lncRNA from 1 species
GAUGAUGUUGGAAGCUUUAAUAUUUAUUUUUAGGAGAACCACAGAUAGAAACUAAAAACAACACCACCGCACACAUUAGUCGGGAAAAAGGGGGAAAAAAAACCUGAAUCAUCGUCCUUCCGUGUCUUUGUUUUCUAUAGGUGCAAAUAUUACUUGCAUAAAAAAUACCUUUUCGUUGGUACAUAACCAAAACACUGCUACAUCCAUUUGUAAACAUUAUCCAUCCAAUUAUAAUAGUUCUCUAGUCAUUUCCAGGGCAUGCACGCAAUUUUUUGAUAUGCUAAAUGUGCAGAAUAGCCAGUCUGGGUUCCAAGUUAUACAGACGUGACUUCAGAACUCUAUGCCAAACUGCCAAUAUUGACCAAAUACAUAUGAGAAAGCAAGUUAGUUAAACUAAACUAUAAAUUAAGGUCAUAUUAAACAUAGAUGUACAGAUGCAUGUACGAGAAAACAAAGUCAUGCAGAUUGCGUCAAAUUACAACUUAGAUCAAUACAUUUAAUUUUGUGAUAAAAAGGAUCUAUUUCGAGUUACUGCCUGAAUUGAAAUUUUCAAAAUGUUUAUCUCGUGGGUAUCAAGGCCAUUUCGGGUGUUUUAAAUGCCCAACCAAGCACUGCCGCUUAGAACUAGAGGCAUCAGACAUGCACCUACCACGCAUAAAACAUUUAUCAGACUUGCACCUACCACGCAUAAAAUUAUUAAACAUCCAAGCUCGAUCUCACCUGAACUUAUUGAUAAUGAAUGCUGCUCCAAGCAUCACUCUAUUCCCCACUCAGAGCAUCGGACCCUGUGGCACUCCUGGAUUGGUUAGUAUACAGAGCCACGUGGAUGACAAGCAGGACCGAUAUACCACCCCAUCCAUCAGCGUGCGGCAGGAUUGGAGCGGGGAAUAGAGGAAAACAUCGUGAUCCAACUAUUGUACGAUGAGUCCAAAACAGGCCAUCAUGGGUCUGAAUGAUUGGCUGCUGCAUGCUCCGAGCUUUAUGUUUUCCU